GACGAACGCUGGCGGCGCGCCUAACACAUGCAAGUCGAACGAGCGAGAGAGAGCUUGCUUUCUCGAGCGAGUGGCGAACGGGUGAGUAACGCGUGAGGAACCUGCCUCAAAGAGGGGGACAACAGUUGGAAACGACUGCUAAUACCGCAUAAGCCCACGACCCGGCAUCGGGUAGAGGGAAAAGGAGCAAUCCGCUUUGAGAUGGCCUCGCGUCCGAUUAGGUAGUUGGUGAGGUAACGGCCCACCAAGGCGACGAUCGGUAGCCGGACGGAGAGGUUGAACGGCCACAUUGGGACUGGGACACGGCCCCGACUGCUACGGGAGGCAGCAGUGGGGAAUAAUGCACAGUGGGGGAAACCCUGAUGCGGCGACGCCGCGUGGAGGAAGAAGGGCUUCGGAUUGUAAACUCCUGUUGUUGAGGAAGAUAAUGACGGUACUCAACAAGGAAGUGACGGCUAACUACGU
rnacentral:rRNA from 1 species